GGAAGGUAGCGUAAUCACUUGUUCUUUAAAUGAGGACUAGUAUGAAUGGCACCACGAGGGUUGCACUGUCUCCUUUCCCUAAUCAAUGAAACUAAUCUCCCCGUGAAGAAGCGGGGGUACUAAUAUAAGACGAGAAGACCCUAUGGAGCUUUAAAUUUCUCUUCAAACGCCAGACACAAACAUCUGACACUUUACAUUAACCCGACGCCUUGAAGAUGAAUUUUAGGUUGGGGUGACCAUGGAGAACAAAAUAACCUCCACGCUGAAAAGGCCUCCAAGCCUUGAGCCGAGGGCUACAACCCAACGCACUAAAAAAUUAACACCCAUUGACCCAAUAUUUUUGAUCAACGAACCAAGUUACCCUAGGGAUAACAGCGCAAUCUACUUCAAGAGUCCCUAUCGACAAGUGGGUUUACGACC
rnacentral:rRNA from 1 species